rnacentral:rRNA from 1 species
GAUGAACGCUGGCGGCGUGCCUAAUACAUGCAAGUCGAGCGAACAGACGAGGAGCUUGCUCCUCUGACGUUAGCGGCGGACGGGUGAGUAACACGUGGAUAACCUACCUAUAAGACUGGGAUAACUUCGGGAAACCGGAGCUAAUACCGGAUAAUAUAUUGAACCGCAUGGUUCAAUAGUGAAAGACGGUUUUGCUGUCACUUAUAGAUGGAUCCGCGCCGCAUUAGCUAGUUGGUAAGGUAACGGCUUACAAGGCGACGAUGCGUAGCCGACCUGAGAGGGUGAUCGGCCACACUGGAACUGGGACACGGUCCAGACUCCUACGGGAGGCAGCAGUAGGGAAUCUUCCGCAAUGGGCGAAAGCCUGACGGAGCAACGCCGCGUGAGUGAUGAAGGUCUUCGGAUCGUAAAGCUCUGUUAUUAGGGAAGAACAAAUGUGUAAGUAACUAUACACGUCUUGACGGUACCUGAUCAGAAAGCCACGGCUAACUACGUG